GCCGGACUGGCGGAAUUGGCAGACGCGAUGGAUUCAAAAUCCAUUGCCCGCAAGGGCGUCUCGGUUCGAGUCCGAGGUUCGGUA
rnacentral:tRNA from 1 species